rnacentral:rRNA from 1 species
GAUGAACGCUAGCGAUAGGCUUAACACAUGCGAGUCGAGGGGCAGCAUGGUCUUAGCUUGCUAAGGCUGAUGGCGACCGGCGCACGGGUGCGUAACGCGUAUGCAACUUGCCUCACAGAGGGGGAUAACCCGUCGAAAGACGGACUAAUACCGCGUACACUCUAUGUUGGGCAUCCAAUGUAGAGGAAAUGAAAUUCGCUGUGAGAUAGGCAUGCGUCCCAUUAGCUAGUUGGUGAGGUAACGGCUCACCAAGGCGACGAUGGGUAGGGGAACUGAGAGGUUGAACCCCCACACUGGUACUGAGACACGGACCAGACUCCUACGGGAGGCAGCAGUGAGGAAUAUUGGUCAAUGGGCGAGAGCCUGAACCAGCCAAGUCGCGUGAAGGAUGACUGUCUUAUGGAUUGUAAACUUCUUUUAUACGGGAAUGACAAGAGUCACGUGUGGCUCCCUGCAUGUACCGUAUGAAUAAGCAUCGGCUAACUCCGUG